AGGUCAGUGGCGGAUCUCUGAUGGACACACCAAGCGCCUUCUAAGCGCUUGGCCGCAGGUUCGAGUCCUGCCGGGG
rnacentral:tRNA from 1 species